AAUAUUGCGCAAUGGGGGAAACCCUGACGCAGCAACGCCGCGUUAAUGAUGAAGGCCUUUGGGUUGUAAAGUUCUGUCUUCUGGGACGAUAAUGACGGUACCAGAGGAGGAAGUCACGGCUAACUACGUGCCAGCAGCCGCGGUAAUACGUAGGUGGCAAGCGUUGUCCGGAUUUACUGGGCGUAAAGGAUGCGUAGGCGGAUAUUUAAGUCAGAUGUGAAAUACCCGGGCUCAACUUGGGUGCUGCAUUUGAAACUGGAUAUCUAGAGUGCGGGAGAGGUAAGUGGAAUUCCUAGUGUAGCGGUGAAAUGCGUAGAGAUUAGGAAGAACACCAGUGGCGAAGGCGACUUACUGGACCGUAACUGACGCUGAGGCAUGAAAGCGUGGGGAGCAAACAGG
rnacentral:rRNA from 1 species